rnacentral:tRNA from 1 species
CACCGGCAAGCCGAUCGCGGUGUCGGGCCGGGUGCUGGUGCCGACCGCGGCGUGGAAAGGGGCGGGGGAGCGCCCGAUCGUGUCGGUCGCCAGUGGC